rnacentral:rRNA from 1 species
UACGUAGGGAGCAAGCGUUGUCCGGAAUCAUUGGGCGUAAAGCGCGCGUAGGUGGCCUCAUAAGUCCGCUGUGAAAGUCCAAGGCUCAACCUUGGAAAGCCGGUGGAUACUGUGAGGCUAGAGUACGGAAGAGGCGAGUGGAAUUCCUGGUGUAGCGGUGGAAUGCGCAGAUAUCAGGAGGAACACCGGUGGCGAAGGCGGUUCUCUGGGCCUUACCUGACGCUGAGGAGCGAAAGCGUGGGGAGCAAACAGG